CCUACGGGUGGCUGCAGUAAGGAAUAUUGGUCAAUGGGCGCGAGCCUGAACCAGCCAAGUAGCGUGAAGGAUGACUGCCCUACGGGUUGUAAACUUCUUUUAUAAAGGAAUAAAGUGAGGCACGUGUGCCUUUUUGUAUGUACUUUAUGAAUAAGGAUCGGCUAACUCAGUGCCAGCAGCCGCGGUAAUACGGAGGAUCCGAGCGUUAUCCGGAUUUAUUGUGUUUAAAGGGAGCGUAGAUGGGUUGUUAAGUCAGUUGUGAAAGUUUGCGGCUCAACCGUAAAAUUGCAAUUGAUACUGGCAGUCUUGAGUACAGUUGAGGUAGGCGGAAUUCGUGGUGUAGCGGUGAAAUGCUUAGAGAUCACGAAGAACACCGAUUGCGAAGGCAGCUUACUAAACUGCCACUGACAUUGAUGCGCGAAAGUGUGGGUAGCAAACAGGAUUAGAUACCCCAGUAGUC
rnacentral:rRNA from 1 species